rnacentral:rRNA from 1 species
UACGAAGGGUGCAAACGUUGCUCGGCAUUAUUGUGCGUAAAGCGCACGUAGGCGGUGCCGUAAGUCGGAUGUGAAAUCCCUCGGCCUAACCGAGGAACUGCGUCCGAUACUGCGGUGCUUGAGGAUCAGAGGGGUGCAUGGAAUUUCCGGUGGAGCGGUGAAAUGCGUUGAUAUCGGAAGGAACUCCGGCGGCGAAAGCGAUGCACUGGCUGAUUUCUGACGCUGAGGUGCGAAAGCGUGGGGAGCAAACAGG